GAUAUAAGACACUGGGAGACGCGGGCAACACAGUCUUGAUCCAGUACUCGAGAAGGGAAGCUAUACAAUGAUUCGUCUCUUCCUAACGCUUCUGCUGUUGUCGCUGAUGCUGUUGCUUCUGACGGAGGUAACAGGAUUUCCAUCGCCCGUGAGCACUCCAGCGCCCUACCCACCGCGAUGCGUCUGCCCGGACCCCCCUUGUGACUGCGACAUCAUCCAAUACCCGUCCGUUAACAGAUAAUAGAGGGCGUGAACCAAGCCUUGUGUAUAUAUAUAACCUCCAAGACGUGUGUCAAGUUCUCAGUAUUUAUCUCGAGGUGUUUCUGUGUGGACGCGUGUUGUUAGUGUUCGUGUGUUGUUAUUGUUCGUGUGUUGUUAUUGUUCGUGUGUGUAUCUUUGUGGAAAGAGAUGACAAGGACGGCUACCUCAAGUGUCAUGUAAAGUGGUGAGAUUCCUUCCAGAUAUCAGAUUCAGAUCCAAGCAUUUAUUUCGCCCCAUAGCAAUUACAUAGGUGUUUUAAGCUACGGAGGUGCAUUGGAUAGGCUUAUCCUCUGAGCGUCGAGUGGAUUCUUUAGAAGACGGAGCUGGCUGUAGAUUUACGAAAUGGGCGAAAUGGCUAUAAACACUUUGGAAAGGGAGGAAGAAAAGGAAAAAAAGUGUGUACGGGAUUGUACGAAAGGUAAUUCUUGUGAUGUCGAAUAAAAGUGAUGGAAUGCG